CCUACGGGAGGCAGCAGUGGGGAAUAUUGCACAAUGGAGGAAACUCUGAUGCAGCAACGCCGCGUGGAGGAUGACGCAUUUCGGUGUGUAAACUCCUUUUAUAUAGGAAGAUAAUGACGGUACUAUAUGAAUAAGCACCGGCUAACUCCGUGCCAGCAGCCGCGGUAAU
rnacentral:rRNA from 1 species